AAUAUGCAAUUUUUAUUUUCCCAAAUAUAUUACCAAUACAAAGAAAAAUCAUUGAAAAAUCACUGACGGAGUAUGAUGGAUGUCCAGGCUAGACUAUGAGGUCAUCAACCAAGGAGUUGUGACAUCAGUGAGAGAUGACUAUGACCUCACUAACCCAUUCUGUACAAAUUUGGGUGCUGGUAGAGUCCACCAUAGACUUGUGCCUGGACUCCAGUUGAACCUAUCUGUGAGACUUGGGUUGAUAUACCAAAUGAUAGAAAAUCUGACAGAAGUGGCAAGAUCUGUUUCUCUGAGUAUAUCCCACAGUGAUCAGCAGAAUCAGGAGGACACUGCACCGUGCUCCCAUGUGGACUCUCAGUGAUGCUUCUCAUACUAUUCUGUUACAUCUGCUCUGCUAAGAUAAUUCUAUUGGAGGUCUGAGGUGGUGAGAUAUUGCUUCUUCUAAAUACACUGGGAUGGUGAGACAGCUGUAGCAUUCAGCUGAUAGUCCAAGGUAAGCUGGCAAACACAUAGCUCUACCUGGAGAAUGUGGAGAAGAGCAUAUGACACGAAGACAACAGAUGACUCCAAGCUAGGAGUCAUCUGCCAGAAGGAAGGAAGGUCCCACAGAAGAAUCAACACAGGCUGGAUCAAAGGGCUGAUUCCAAUGGGAGGGAGGUGAUUGUCCCUCUGUAUUCAGCACUGGUGAGGCUGCACCUCGAGUACUGUGUUCAGUUUGUGUCCUUCACUACAAGAAAGACAUUGAGGCUCAGGAGUGUACAGAGAAGGGCAAUGAAGCUGUGAAGGUUCUGGAGCACAAAACUUCUGGGGAGAGGCUGAGGGAACUUGGAUUUUCCGGUCUGGAGAAGAGAAGGUUCAGGGAAGACUAUGUUGCUCUCCACAACUCCCUGAAAGGAAGUUGUGGCUAGAUGGGACUUGGCCUCUUCUCUCAGGUAACAGAGAUAGGAUGAGAGGGAAGGGCCUUAAGUUGUGUCAGAGGAGGUUCAGGUUGGAUAUCAGGAAAACUUUCUUCUGCUAAAUAGUGGUGAGGUAUUGGAACAGUCUGCCUGGGGCGGGGGUGUGGAAUCACCAUCUCUGGAGGUCUUUAGGACAAGAAUAGUUACGACACUAAGGAGCAUAAUUUAGCAGGCAUGGUAUUGAUGGGUCGACAGCAGGACUAGAUGGUCUUAGCUGUCUUUUUCAACCCUCAUGUUUCUAUGAUGUCUAGGGAAGUGUCAUGUGUCAUGGUUUUAUGAUUUUUGUUAUCAGUAUUCUACAUCAUAACAUCAUGUAAAGCGCUUGAAGUUGAAAAGUUGAAGAGGUAAUGCUCCACUUCUGUGGACUGCAUAUUUUCUCGGUACCUGGUUCUCAGAAGAGAAGAACUGCAUGACCCAGAGGAGUUUGCAUUCAGAGGGAAAGAUAAAUUCCUCCUAGUCAUGAGACCCGCUCUCUGCUGCUGCCCCAGCAGUGUGGGUGUUGUUCCUCAGCCAUCGGUUUUAGAGUAAGGCCUUCAGUUUUUGACACCCUCUCUCACAUUUUAUUCGAUUUAUUAGCCUCGAUUCCAAUUAUAUUGUAUUUUAUUGUAUUACCUUGCAUUCUGAUAUCAUAUUUAGUAAAUUAACUUUCCUCCUUGGAUCGUUGACACUUCUCUGUUUUUUAGGCCCAUCUUCCAUCUUCCUACACUUUCCCCUUUAUCCCUUUUCCCCUUCCCGAAGGUGUGGGUCUGUGGGUCCCCUGCUCCAUUAGUCACAGAACCAGGCCAAACCAGCCUGUAAACCACCAACACCUUCUCCCCCUCCCCCUUUUCAGGCUGGUGGGCCUGUGGGCCUGCUGUUCCCCUGUCAUAGACACAGAAAGAUCUAGAGAUAACUCUGUGACAUCAUGGGAGAAAGUUUUCAGUCUGGUGCCUACUUCUGUACUGAUUGGAAGGAAUAACAAACAGAAAGCAGUGCUUCAGAAAUGCAAAAAAGAACAAAGGUGUGUAAAGGAAAGUUACUGUUGAACUUCCAGGAUAGAAAUAAAAUGUGAUACAAUGAACACAUACAUUGUCUUUAAUAUGAUGUUCCACAUGUUCUACAAGAUUUUCAAAUAGUAGCUUGCAGAAUCAUUGAUUGUGAGGAAAAUAGCAGCCGUCCUUCCUGUCCUACAUGAACAGGAGAAUUCAAAUCACUCUCUGUGAAAGGGAAUGGAGAGAUGAUAAGUUUGACAAGAUUUCGUUAAUGUAAAGAAUCCUGAACGUAGGAGAAGGGAAACAAGAAAUAACAUAUCUGUAUAACCAUAGAAUCAUAGAAUCACUAGGGCUGGAAAGACCCCUAAGAUCAUCUGGUCCUACCGUCAAUCCAUCAUCACUGUGCCCACUAACCCAUGUCCCUCAGUGCCACAUCUACACAGUUCCUGAAUGCCUCCAGGGACAGUAACUCUACCACGUCCUUGGACAGCCCAUUCUAAUCCUGUCAUCAAAGGCCACCUCAGAUCUUAACAUAAAAGGGUUUUUGUUUUUUUCUUUUCUUUUCUUCCCCUUUCUCUUCUCCAGGAUGAGCUCUUGGAUUCAUUCAGGGUCAUUCCUUCAUUUUUUUGCACUCCUAGAUUUCUUUCCUUGAUUCCUUGCUCUUCUCUGCCUCUUAUGCAAACAGUCCUGGCAUGAGAUUUGGUCAAGCCAUUUCAUAUGCAUGUGUUUUUGUUUCAUACAGUGAAAUUUCCUGGGUGGAACUGUGUCUGUUUUAUCUUUUUAUCUCCAUAAGAAACUAGGAAAUUCUUUAAGAUAGCCUGAAAGUGAAAAGAAGCGUUGGCGUAAAAUGCUUUGACGUCAGCAAGAGGCUUUUUUUUCAACAGGGCUGCAGGGCUACUGCUUUGCCCCCUUCUUUAAGGCUGUCUUGAGCUCAGAGUGAGUUUUCUGCUAGUGAAUCAUCAGUGUGCUCCCAAAGGGCAAUUUCAACCAAAUCAAACGUGAUGAACAAUUUUUAGGACUGACAGAAACUGCUUUUCCUAAGGGCAAUGUCCUCAUCAGGAUGACAGUCACAAGGGGACUGAGUUUUAAAACAGGAAUGAAGAGCGAAUGUUUGCCCAAACACUUUUUCAGAGUCCUCUGCUUCUCAGAGUUGCACAUUUUGGGAGUGCAGCUGCAUAGCAAAAUGCAAAUGAGAUGUUAAUGAAGUGGCAGUAGGUAGGAGAAUUUUUCUCCUCUUUUCUUUUAAGUAGCAGAGGGCAUUCCCUUGUCCAUAGUGAUGCAGUGGCAACUCCCAUUCUUCAUUCACCUGCCAGUGUCCUGUGAUGCAAUGAUUGGUAAUACGCAGGGUCAGCACCUGUGAAAAUACAAACCAAUAAUUUCUGCAGGCUGGCAAUGAGUGCAUAUCAAAGAGCUUUCUGACACUAGCCAUGCAGCUGGGAAAGAGUCUGUGCAGCACAAUAAUUCUGCCAAGCUGUCCCAGACAUCACAGGCAGAAAUGGCUUUGUGUGUGCUUUAGGAAAGCAGCUGGUUGCAUUCCCCUUCCUGACAGUGCUCUCAGGGGAUGCAGGAGCAGGAGGAAGAUAGCAACAAAAAACCUGUGCUGGCGUCAAGGCGCAACUCACACUAAUCUCACGCCAGCAGUGAUGCUAUCCACUGUGCCAGGAAAAGCCAUGUGAUCAAAUACGAAAUGAUCGCAGGUCACUUCGCUGCUCAGGGGUUUUGUUUGGGUUGUUGCUCAUACAAGGGCUUCCUUGGUGAGUGCUCACCAACAGUACGGGAACGGCGGCUCUCCGCCGUGCAGACCGCCUCCUCCAGGCUUCCACCUCUUCCUGGCAGCAGACAGGCUCAGCCAGCUGCGUUGCAGCCCGGGAUUAGCAGAGAAGAAGCGAUUUUCCAGUGCUGGCUCCCGCAGCUCUCUUGCGAGCCCUAGUGACAGCAGCACCUGCUUGCAGCACCUGCCUGCAGCACUCGCCUCUUGCUGGGAAAUAAGGGAAAAUACUGCAUUUCUGUGCUUCUUAAGUUUCUUUUCCCGUUGUCCUCCCUCUCUUCCCUUGAGGAGAUGAAAGCAGCAGUGAACAUCUCUGACCUCUGCUAAAGCCUGCAGAGUGCAGAGACUUCGUGUUGAAAAGAGAGGGUUCGGGACAGAAAUACGAAAGCAAAGACAGAACUAUUUGAAAUUAAAUAUAUAUGUGUGUGUAUGUGUAUGCGUGUGCGUAUGUAUAUACACACAUUUCUUCCCAUGACAUCCCAAACGCUAGGACAUUUACACUCAGGAAAUAGCAGUGCCCUUUCACCAUGCGUCAAACACAUGCUUUAACCUCAUGGGAACAAUUGUAAUGUACAAGGAGGGCACCUUACCAAUGUCCUGAACAGGGCUGCGGGUUUUUUUUGUUUGUUUGUUUGUUUUUGUUUUUUAAAUCACUGCUCCUCAUGCACCUUCCACUCUGGAUCUCUCACAAUAUUUGUAGCCCUCAUUUGAACACUCCCUAAUAGUUUUAUGUCCUUUUAGUACUGUGGUGCCUCAACCUGCACACAGUACUCAAGCUGAGGUUGUACCAGUGCAGUAUAAACUGAGGCAGUCACUUCCCUUGUUCAGCUGGGUCUACCACGCUUGAUGAGCCUCAGCCCAGAACACAAAAAACAUUUCGAAAUUCAGUGAAUGCCUUAGUUAUCAUCCCUGGAAAAGAACAGAAUUACUAUUUAAUCUGAAAACUGGAAAUAGUGACCAGUAGAUAUUGCUGAGGUCUCCUUGUGCGCGUCCUUGCUGAAUGUUCUCUGUCCUAAUGAGAUGAGCUGAUAAGCCUGGUUGUAUACUUCUUCAAAUCCAGCAACAGCGAGGUGAAUUACUGGGAGCUGGUAGAUUACUGCUUCUGGAGUUUCUGAGCAGGUUUUCUCUCCCAUCUAAUGAAGCUAGAAUGAAAAUGUUGGGGGAAGAACAGAAGCCAAGCUCAGACAAGAUUCUGAAAGAACAUGUAGAUAUAUAUGUUUGUAUUUGUAUAUGCACAUAUGUGCAUAUACAGCUGAUUUUUAUAUUCAUCUUUGGGAGUUAUUUUAAAUCUAGCUUAUUUUGUUUGUUGACAUGAAAUGCAUGCAUAUUGGUUCUUUUCUCAUGUAUUACUGGCUAUUAUACUUAUAUUUAUACCAAGGUAAGCAAAAUCAGCAUUUGUCAAAAAGACAUACUCUGAAUAUAAAAACAUGCAUCUCUUAGUCUUUUUUAAAUAAAUAGCUAACUCCCAUCUAGCUAGUGCUAGGUCUGAAAAUGUGACUUUUGUUCAUG
ensembl:lncRNA